UAUGAGUUUGAGUUUCAGCCAGCUCCCAUGAAACAAUGCUACCCUACAAAUAAACUCUUUGUGGUUUUACUGUACCCCUCCCACAUUCCCCAUUUUUUAAAUCUCUGAGUUGUUUCCCAACUAGCAAAGAGCUGUGAUUGUCACAAUAGGGCUAGAACUUCUCUAUGAUAAUACCACCUCUAGUAUUAGGGUUGACUAAUUAGGUAAGCAAGAUUAUACUACAGAGGGCCCAACUAUGGCCAGAGAGAUGAUUUUCCAUAUCCCAAGAUGACAAGUCAACAGUUGUCAAUUCUCCUUUCCUUCCAUUUAUAUGGUUGGGAACACACUAUUUAUUCUCCCUCCUUUUAUAGCUCUCAAUCCUUUUUUAGAGAACUCAGUCCCAUUUUGAGUUUUUCCUAAAAGGAUUUGGACAGUGUUAAAAAAAUAAUGAUAGAAAUGAUGAAAUUACAACAACAAAGUAGGCAUUUAAAUCAAAGCUUAACAAUAAUUAACUAAAUGAUUCUUGAUCAUUGUACUUCGUUCCUCACUAGCCUUGGGUUUCCAGUGUCUAGUGCAAUAGACUCGUUUGUAGAGCCUUGUAGCAGAUGGCUGGCUUUUCACUUUCAGAUAGAUAUCAUAUUUGAAAAGGAAGACUAAAGAUACUAAGUAAUAUUUCUAGAUUUCCUUUCGGCUUGCAUAACACAUCCCCAUUUCACUCAAAAACAUUUUUAUUUGGUAAAGCAGUUGAAGGAUAAUGAACAUGGUAGCAGCUCACAGAGUAGUUUUCUGCCUGAAGGGAUUAGAGGCUCUUGGAUCAAAGUACAGUGACAACUCCAGGGUUAAAUGUAGAAGAUAUUUCAUGAAUAAAUGGUAAUAGAAAGUGGUCAUGAUGCCUGGAACCCCAAGCAUGGACUCAGAGCUACAACUGCCCUCUCUGUUCCAGACCAAAUGAGAAAAGGAGUCAGGUAGAUUAAUUUGAUGCAAACUUAACACUUGAAAAAGUCAUAAAAACAUUAGUGACCAUUAAGAGUUCCACCUCUCUUCAAAGAUUCAGUCUCUGUAGAGACCGAGCGCUUACUUUAUGAAGAUUUAGAAAUAUGUUUUUAUUAGAAUGAGAAGGUAUUGGUUAAGCCAUUGGUGCUAGAAUCAAACAGGCUGGGUUUGAAUCCUGUCUCUUGCUACUCACUGAACUUGGGAGUUUGAGCCUCAACUUUUUAAUCUAUAAAAUGAGGGAAAUUAUAGUACUCAUCCAUAGCAUUUCUGGCAGGAUUCAAUGGGAUUAUUGAUGAAAUGUUCAGCAUAGGGCUGGGAGUGGUGGCUCAUGCCUGUAGUCUCAGCACUUUGGGAGACGGAGGCCAGUGAAUCUCUUGAGCUCAGGCAUUCGAGACCAGCCUGAGCAACAUAAAGAAACCCCAUCUCUACAAAAAAAUACAAAACAAAAGCAAAGCAAGCAAACAAAAAAAACCCAAUUAUCUGGGCAUGGUGGUGCACCUAUAGUCCCAGCUACUUGGGGAGCUGAGGUGGGAGGAUCGCUCGAGCCCUGGAGGCGAAAGUUGCAGUGAGUUGAGAUUAAGCCACUGCACUGUAGCC
ensembl:lncRNA